GGUGAGUAAUAUAUCGGAACGUACCCUAGAGUGGGGGAUAACGUAGCGAAAGUUACGCUAAUACCGCAUACGAUCUAAGGAUGAAAGUGGGGGAUUCGCAAGAACCUCAUGCUCGUGGAGCGGCCGAUAUCUGAUUAGCUAGUUGGUAGGGUAAAAGCCUACCAAGGCAUCGAUCAGUAGCUGGUCUGAGAGGACGACCAGCCACACUGGAACUGAGACACGGUCCAGACUCCUACGGGAGGCAGCAGUGGGGAAUUUUGGACAAUGGGCGAAAGCCUGAUCCAGCAAUGCCGCGUGAGUGAAGAAGGCCUUCGGGUUGUAAAGCUCUUUUGUCAGGGAAGAAACGGUGGUUUCUAAUACAGAUCACUAAUGACGGUACCUGAAGAAUAAGCACCGGCUAACUACGUGCCAGCAGCCGCGGUAAUACGUAGGGUGCAAGCGUUAAUCGGAAUUACUGGGCGUAAAGCGUGCGCAGGCGGUUUUGUAAGUCUGACGUGAAAUCCCCGGGCUCAACCUGGGAAUUGCGUUGGAGACUGCAAGGCUAGAGUUUGGCAGAGGGGGGGUAGAAUUCCACGUGUAGCAGUGAAAUGCGUAGAUAUGUGGAGGAACACCGAUGGCGAAGGCAGCCCCCUGGGUCAAGACUGACGCUCAUGCACGAAAGCGUGGGGAGCAAACAGGAUUAGAUACCCUGGUAGUCCACGCCCUAAACGAUGUCUACUAGUUGUCGGGUCUUAAUUGACUUGGUAACGCAGCUAACGCGUGAAGUAGACCGCCUGGGGGAGUACGGUCGCAAGAUUAAAACUCAAAGGAAUUGACGGGGACCCGCACAAGCGGUGG
rnacentral:rRNA from 1 species